AUGUCGAAUGCGCGUGGCGGGCUGGAUUUCCGCGUUCUGUACCCAUGUGACCUCCUCCUCCCUUCCUUCCUCACCUCCUCUCUCUCUCUCCCCCCAAAAAAGCCCCUCACCAAUACGGGUGAGACGGGACGAAUUGGGGACCGCGCCUCUAGCGGAUCGGCGCGGCGGUGGUCGCAGGGCAGGGGGAUGUCCACGCGGUCGAGGUCGGUGCAGGGCUCCGUGGGCGGCGGCGGCAGCACGGCUGGGGGCUCGGCCGUGCCGCUCGCCGUGCUUCUGCGGCGGGAGGUGGUCAGCGAGAGGACCGCCGCCGAGCGCCCGGAGCUCCAGCACGGCCUCUUCAGCCAAGCCAAGAAGGGCGAGGAUUUUGUCUUCCUCAAGCCCGACUGCGAGCGUCUCCCCGGCUUCCCGCCAUCCUCCUUCUCUGCCUUCGGCCUGUUUGAUGGGCACAAUGGGAAUGGAGCCGCUAUUUAUACAAAGGAGAAUCUCUUGAACAACAUCUUGGGUGCAGUCCCUGCUGAUCUCAACAGGGAGGACUGGCUUGCUGCGCUUCCAAGGGCGAUGGUUGCAGCAUUUGUCAAAACCGAUAAAGAUUUCCAAACAGUAGCACGCUCUUCAGGAACAACAGUGACAUUUGUCAUAAUAGAUGGAUUGGUUGUUACUGUUGCAUCUGUUGGUGAUUCGCGUUGUGUAUUAGAAGCUGAAGGUUCAAUUUAUCAGUUAUCUUCGGAUCAUCGUUUCGAUGCCAGUAAAGAGGAGGUUGAUCGUGUAACAGAAGCUGGAGGUGAUGUUGGAAGGCUAAAUGUUGUUGGUGGUGCUGAGAUUGGCCCCCUUAGAUGCUGGCCUGGGGGUUUGUGCCUGUCAAGGACAAUCGGAGAUCAGGACGUGGGUGAAUUUAUCGUUCCUGUUCCUCUCGUCAAGCAAGUAAAGUUAUCUACUGCUGGAGGCCGGCUUAUUAUUUCAAGCGAUGGUGUUUGGGAUGCUUUGACUGCAGAACAGGCUCUGAACUGUUCAAGAGGACUUCCUCCUGAAGCUGCAGCCGAGCAAAUUGUUAAAGACGCAGUGCACUCAAAGGGACUGAGGGAUGACACCACUUGUAUAGUCGUUGACCUAGUACCAGAAAAAGGCAACCCAGCUAUGUCAGCUCCUAAAAAGCAACCAGGAAUGGGUGUUUUCAAAAAUAUGUUUCGCAAGAAAACAUCUUCCGACUCAUCAUCCCAUGCAGAUAGAGAAUAUAUGGAUCCAGACGUUGUAGAAGAGAUAUUUGAGGAUGAAUGUGCAUUGCUCUCUAGACGGCUGGAUUCUGAAUACCCUGUUCGAAAUAUGUUCAAACUCUUUAUAUGUGCUAUUUGUCAAGUAGAGUUAAAGCCAAAUCAAGGGAUAUCUGUACAUGAAGAUUCAUCACAACCUGGGAACUUGCGUCGAUGGGAUGGUCCGUUCCUUUGCCAAAGCUGUCAGGAAAAAAAAGAAGCCAUGGAGGGAAAGCGCCGUUCACGAGAUUCGUCAUCGAGAAAUAGCGGGUCCAGUGAAUAG
rnacentral:rRNA from 1 species